rnacentral:rRNA from 1 species
UACGUAGGGUGCGAGCGUUAAUCGGAAUUACUGGGCGUAAAGCGUGCGCAGGCGGUUUUGCAAGCCGGAUGUGAAAUCCCCGGGCUCAACCUGGGAAUGGCAUUUGGGACUGCAAGGCUCGAGUGCGGCAGAGGAGACUGGAAUUCCUGGUGUAGCAGUGAAAUGCGUAGAUAUCAGGAGGAAUACCGAUGGCGAAGGCAGGUCUCUGGGCUGACACUGACGCUCAUGCACGAAAGCGUGGG